CCUACGGGAGGCAGCAGUGAGGAAUAUUGGUCAAUGGGCGCGAGCCUGAACCAGCCAAGUAGCGUGAAGGAUGACUGCCCUACGGGUUGUAAACUUCUUUUAUAAAGGAAUAAAGUGAGGCACGUGUGCCUUUUUGUAUGUACGUUAUGAAUAAGGAUCGGCGAACUCCGUGCCAGCAGCCGCGGUAAUACGGAGGAUCCGAGCGUUAUCCGGAUUUAUUGGGGUUCAAGGGAGCGUAGAGGGGUUGUUAAGUCAGUUGGGCAAGUUUGCGGCUCCACCGGAAAAUUGCAAGUGAUCCUGGCAGCCUUGCGUACAGUUGAGGUAGGCGGACUUCGUGGUGUAGCUGU
rnacentral:rRNA from 1 species